rnacentral:rRNA from 1 species
UACGAAGGGGGCUAGCGUUGUUCGGAAUUACUGGGCGUAAAGCGCACGUAGGCGGAUUUGUUAGUCAGGGGUGAAAUCCCGGGGCUCAACCUCGGAACUGCCUUUGAUACUGCAAGUCUCGAGUCCGGAAGAGGUGAGUGGAAUUCCUAGUGUAGAGGUGAAAUUCGUAGAUAUUAGGAAGAACACCAGUGGCGAAGGCGGCUCACUGGUCCGGUGCUGACGCUGAGGUGCGAAAGCGUGGGGAGCAAACAGG